CUGUGUAUCUUGUGGUGACAAAUGCUCUCCCUCUCUCUCUCUAGAAUCUAGCUCGUUGGUGAUAACCGUAAAACCUGGGGCCACAGCCCCUUGUUUCUCUCUCUCAUUCCACCACACAAUUUUACUACAAAUAUCAAACGUGAAGUAGCUGAUCCUUUACUUUUCUCUUCAGCUAUAAUUGAGUUUACUCAAAGAUGCUGCAGAGAAAUAACAUGGCCGGCCCUUCUCCGCCGCCGCCUGAUACCGGCCGCGCCAAAUGGGUUUACGGCGGUGGCGCCGCCGCCGCCGCGGAGAGCCUGAGGAAAGCUAACAUCGAGCAUGAUGCAAUGAGAAAAGCGAGGGAAGCUGAGAAGGCUGAGAAGAUUAUGCACCUCAUUUGUUGGGGUCCUACUAAGUAGAGUUUCUGUUUUCGAUCUCGUAUUUUAUUUCAUUAAUUAGUGCCCGUUGAAUAUAUAUUCUCUUCAUUCCACUUCACUUAGCCUAGAUCUUUCCGAUUCGAUUGUUUAGAAUAGUAUAAGAGAGGAAAUUGUAAUUUUAAUGUGUGUAUGUUCAUAUUUAUUUUAAUGAAAAAUAGUUAUUCAUAAAGAAAAUAAGCCAAGUUAAAUGAUAUAACUAAAAAAAUUAUAUGUAAAAUUUUAAUGGGACGAAAAGAGUAUAAUAUAUGAUAUUGCAUCUUGUGAUAUAAUUUGGGUAUAAAAGUCCGCCUUUCUUUUUCUUCUUGUUGUGUAAUUCCAAUGAAUAUGUGACAUGUCAAAUGAAUUUUCAUGUUCUACAAUUUGAAGAUAAAAAUAAUCAAGAAUCUGAAUAAUUUGAGAAAUUGAUGUUCCAUUUUAGUUGCAAAGACUAUAAUGAAUAAUGAUUACUCUUUCCUUCAAAGGUUUUCAUUUUGCAGUAUAAUUAGCCAAAAUAAUAAUAAUAAUAAUAAUAAUAAUAAUAAUAAUAAUAAUAAUAAUAAUAAUAAUAAUGUUCACAACUUAUACUACAAUNUCACUGAUAAGGCAUGAUUGAGAAAUUAGUUCACUUUAAUCAAGUAUUUAAUUUAUAUGAUUGAACUCCUGAUUAAUAAUUCAGUUCGUAUAUAAUCAUUCAAAUGAGUGAUUAUUUAUCAGUCUAUAGUUAGGUAAAUUAUUUAAUCAAGCUUCCAAUCUAUUUAUUCGAUUCACCAAAUUAAACGCCUCCUUAGAUGCAAAUGACGUCGUUUCAUCACAAUUUGUUCUGUUUGGGCUUUAAUUACUGCAAUUCAGAUAUACUUGACUGAGCAAUGUGUGUGUUGAUUUGGUGGUAUUGUGGUUAAUGCAUGAUGCUAGAGAGGCCAGGCUCGAGUCAAUAGUAAAACGAUCUUUAAAAUUAUUUGUUAUUUUAUUAAAAAGAAAAUGAAAAAAAGGACUUCAAUUCAUCAUGUUGUUGGUAUAACGUAUGAGAUUGUGAAAGUGCAAACGUUUGGAUAAGGGGAUUUUAAAAUCUAUUGGCAUCCAUAAUUCUAUUGAAUAAUAUAUAAUUUUGUGAAAUAAAAAAGUCAUUUUCAUUGUGUGAGCGGUUACAAAGAAAAAAUGAAAAAGGAGAGGAUAAGAUUAAAAACAAAUUGAAGUUGUUUCCGGUUUCAUUGAGAGUUUGAUGCUGAUGGAUUGUUGUAAUAAUUAAUUAAAUUUGGUAUCCAAUCACAGAUCAUUAAAAUCGUCAAUUGCCAUAAAUAAAAUUAUAUUAAUGUCGAUCACUUUGUCCAAAAAGGAUUUUAUUUGUGAUACUAACAAUAUAACUUGUUCCUUCUCAAAAAACAAUAUAACUUGUUGAUUAAACAAUUUUUUUUUCACUUAGAUGGAGGAUAUUGUAAUUAAAUAAAUAUAAUACCUUUUUCUUUUUAUUAAACGCAUUAUAUUUUACUACGAAACAAUUAAUAGAUAUUAUAUUAGUAUCAAAUUUGUUAAAAAAGAAAAUGGACCAGAUCAGGUGGUCCAAUUGGAAUCAACAGACAUUUUAAAUAUUUCUUAGUUGCACCGCUUUAAAAUCAGUUGUCUGAAAUAUUUAAUUUCAUUAUAUAAAUAUAUAUAAUUUAAUAAUGAUAUUAAUAACAUUUUUAAAAUAAUAAAAUUAAAAUACAUACAUAAAUAAAAAAUGCUAAUGUUGACCAAGCAAGCAUGCACAAUUAUAGUUCUUCACGGAAGAUUUGCGUGUAGCAUACUAUUUCCUCCUUAUUCAAAUAAGUGUCAUAUUACAUAAAAUUACACUUAUAAAAAAAUAUAAUUUUACAAGCAAGAUAUAUUUCUAUUGUUUUUUUUAAAUAUAAUUUUACAUAUAUGCCCUUCAUUAUAUUUCUUAGUUAUGAAGUGGAGAAGAAAUAAAAAUAAUGCAUUUAUUGUUAAUCUUAAUUAAAGACAUGAGUACUAAAAUGAUAUCACAUGUAGCCUAUAAAUACACGAACUUUUUAUAUUUUCUGAAAAUUAACAUGACUUUUAUUUUUAGCCCAUAAAUACACGAACUUAGCAUUUUUUUAAUUUUUUACAUCGACAUGAAAAAACUCUAUUUAUUGUUGAGGUGGAGGCCGGAAUACAUGACGUGUACUACGAAAUAUGCACUUGAAUAGAGUAAUUUGAUUCAUUAUUUUGAUUAGAGAGUGAAUGACAUGGUAUACCGGCCUUCACGUUAAUAGUAAAUUAGAAUUUUUUCUUGUCGAUGUCAAAAAACAGAAAAAAUGCUAAGUUCAUGUAUUUGUGGGCUAAAAAUAAAAGUCAUGUUAAAUUUCAAAAAAUAUAAAAAGUUCGUGUAUUUACAGGCGAAUAACCCUUAAUAUUAAUUAAGAAUUCGAUCGCAACAAGCUAACAACAACAUUAGAGAGAUACACUUAUAUAAUCUUAUCAAAAUGCAAGAAAGAAAACUACACAAUACUCGAAGAUUUACGUGAUUCGAUCUUGGGUGAUUGAAUUUCCCGUCACACUUCAUAAUUACUAAAAAACCCUAGACCUAAUAAAAAUUAAUAAAAAAUAUAUUAAAAAUCAAGAUUUUUGCAGUGUGUAACUGUGUAUCUUGUGGUGACAAAUGCUCUCCCUCUCUCUCUCUAGAAUCUAGCUCGUUGGUGAUAACCGUAAAACCUGGGGCCACAGCCCCUUGUUUCUCUCUCUCAUUCCACCACACAAUUUUACUACAAAUAUCAAACGUGAAGUAGCUCAACUCCUUUACUUUUCUCUUCAGCUAUAAUUGAGUUUACUCAAAGAUGCUGCAGAGAAACAACAUGGCCGGCGGCAUCAACCCUUCUCCGCCGCCGCCUGAUACCGGCCGCGCCAAAUGGGUUUACGGCGGUGGCGCCGCCGCCGCGGAGAGCCUGAGGAAAGCUAACACCGAGCAUGAUGCAAUGAGAAGAGCAAGGGAAGCUGAGAAGGCUGAGAAGAUUAUGCACCUCAUUUGUUGGGGUCCUACUAAGUAGAGUUUCUGUUUUUGAUCUCGUAUUUUAUUUCAUUAAUUAGUGCCCGUUGAAUAUAUAUUCUCUUCAUUCCACUUCACUUAGCCUAGAUCUUUCCGAUUCGAUUGUUUAGAAUAGUAUAAGAGAGGAAAUUGUAAUUUUAAUGUGUGUAUGUUCAUAUUUAUUUUAAUGAAAAAUAGUUAUUCAUAAAGAAAAUAAGCCAAGUUAAAU
rnacentral:lncRNA from 1 species